CUAAACUUUUCUUUUUCAGUUUGUUUGUUGUAGGGGUCUCUGACCAUGCUUGUGAGGGCGUGGUCAGAGUGAAGUAGUGUGACUGCAUUUGCUCUUUCACUUUCACUUUGCUUCUUGCUGUACAGACUGCUACCAUGCCGGCUGGCUAGGUCACUCUCCACAACGAUCAAAAUUGAGAAGGAGACAGCUAAACACUGAACUGAACUCCUGGUACCCAGUUGCAGAGAGUGAGGUGUGAUGAGCAAAGGGGAUACAACCUGGAUAUUGAAACCACAGAAACAGAUGACCAGAAAAAGGGGGAGCUCAUGGACCCCAAACUGAUGGCUGAGAGUCCAGCAUGGGACUGAUACAGAACCCCAUGAAUGUGAAUGUCAGUAAGGAAGCCUCAGCAAUCGAUGGGACCUCAGGUAUUUAUUGCAGACCUAGGAAUUUAGAAUCUAAUAUAGCAGGCACAAGAUCUGCAGGGAAUCUCAACAUACAAAACUGCAAGAACCAAGAAUCAAGUAAUCUGAUGAUACAAGACUUCAAAACUGAGACAGGGACACGGUAUCUUAAACUAGAAGCAGUGUCAUCAGAAGCAGAUUGCUAUUUCCUGCACAGGAUUCAGCAUCAGUGACUGGAAGCUGCCCUGAAGCAAAAAAUCCCUGCCUUUGCUGUUUCCCACAGGCCCUGACUCUUACAGAUGUCAGGAGCAGUCUUCCUUGUCUGUGUAGAGUAAAGUCGGUUCUGAUCCUACCCAGAAUCUACUGAAUCCUGAAGUAUGGCCAGAGCCUGACUGCUAAGAAGCAUCACUUUUGUUGCUUUUGUUAGCACACCUUGCCUCUGAUUGAAGAACUGUGUGCAUUCAAAUGGAACAUGGAAUGGGAAUGAAUAUGUAAAGUGAUCUCAACUCCAGCACUGGAGGCAGAUACUGUGGUUCCCCAGGAGACUGCAUCAGAGCUUCUGAUUCCUUUGUCUCUCCCACCUUAAAGUGUGCUGCAGGAGAAGCAGUGAAAGUGAAAGUAGAUGAAAGAUAAAAAGUGAAAUAUACCAUGGUUUCUGACACCAAUUUUCAAAAGGAAAGAAAGAAACCUGUGGCAAGAAACAGUUGAUCAUAUAUCUGUCUGCUUCACCAAGCAUUUUUGAUAACUCUAUGAAAGCUACAUUUCUCCCUGGAGAUAGUGGAUUGUGUCUCAAGCUGGACAAUAGCUUCUUGUUUCUGACACUUUUUAAUAUGCCAUGUCAGAUUGCCCAAAUGCAAUUUAAAAUUCUUGAAUUUUAGUUUUCUCCUUUAUAUGUAUAUGUAUAUGUAUAUGUGUGCCUGAAAUAACAUGUUUCUAUUUAAGUUGAAAUAUUAGUUUUAAGAAGUACUUUGAAAUUCCUGUAUUUGAUUACUAUAUCUUAAC
rnacentral:lncRNA from 1 species